GGUGUGUGCUGAGGGGGCCCUGGGUUCUCGGCCGCUGUGGGAGGCCCAGGCUGUCCCUUCGGCUCUGGGGAGCCCCGGGAGGGAGCCUUGUGUGCUCUGCGGGCUUGCUGAGGCUGACCAGGCCUUUCCUCCACGGCAGGGAGAAUUCCCCACCGCGUCUGUGUCUCUGAGUUAAUGUUACACAAGGAAAUUACACCCCCUAGCCGGAGCGUUUAUUGUCGGGGAUCCUUUUCUUCUGUGCUGUGAUUAUUGUGCAUUCCUGAAUAACACAAAUCGGCUGGAGGAGCAAGAACCACAGGGAACACCUGGGUUCACAUAGCUCUUUGGGACUCACUCCAUAGCUACCUGAUUUUCUUCCUUGUGUUGGUUUUGCUACAAGGAAGGUGUUUUUUAUAUAUAUAUAAACACUGAACCAGAAGCAGAGAAAGCCUGCUGUAAGCAGAUGUGCUGCUUGCUCUCUGCCUGUGCUGAUGUUUCCUCCCUAGGUGACUGCUGCUGGGAUCACAGAGGUGUCCUGUGCUGGUGGCUGUGCUCUUUCCAGCUGUCCCAGUCCUGGCUUCCUACUCGGCUCUCUUCAGACAGUUCCACCACUUCUUGGGAACCUACUGCGUCUUGCGAGAGGUGGUGGUGUCCCAGGCACGUUUCCAUCCCAUUCUUGGCCAUCUCUGGAGUCAGAACAGGACAAGUCUUCCUGGGGAAGAGCUGGCUCUGCUGGUGGAGCUGCACGGGUGAUGGUGUGCCAGGGUUGCAGGCAGACCCUGGAAACCAUCCACCAAGAUGACUGAUGGUCAGAACCAAGGCUGAAGCUAGCUGGUGCUGGAAUAAACAUCAAGGAUUUUAGUGUUUCUGUUUUACAGAGGCUGAUUGCAGCUCCCCAGCUUCUCGCCAGCCAGCACAAAGUUGUACCUGGCAGGGCGUUUGGUCUAUACUCGCCAGGCGUGAACUGUGAGGACUGAAAAGCGCCCUGCUUUAGGCUGGCUGGUUUGGGUGGCAGGAGCGUGGGUGCUUGGCAGGAGGGUGAGGAGCCGUGGGGUCUGGGGCCUGCCUGCAGCCCGGGUAUCCG